UGGGGAAUAUUGGACAAUGGGCGCAAGCCUGAUCCAGCCAUGCCGCGUGUGUGAAGAAGGCCUUUCGGUUGUAAAGCACUUUAAGCGAGGAGGAGGCUACUUGGAUUAAUACUCUAGGAUAGUGGACGUUACUCGCAGAAUAAGCACCGGCUAACUCUGUGCCAGCAGCCGCGGUAAUACAGAGGGUGCGAGCGUUAAUCGGAUUUACUGGGCGUAAAGCGUGCGUAGGCGGCUUCUUAAGUCGGAUGUGAAAUCCCUGAGCUUAACUUAGGAAUUGCAUUCGAUACUGGGAAGCUAGAGUAUGGGAGAGGAUGGUAGAAUUCCAGGUUUAGCGGUGAAAUGCGUAGAGAUCUGGAGGAAUACCGAUGGCGAAGGCAGCCAUCUGGCCUAAUACUGACGCUGAGGUACAAAAGCAUGGGGAGCAAACAGG
rnacentral:rRNA from 1 species